rnacentral:sRNA from 1 species
UUUUAGCCCUGAUAGUAGCGGCAUCCUUUUCUUGCCUUUUUUGGGAGGCAAGAAAAGAUAUAGCGGAUAGCAGGAUUGGCU